UACGUAGGGGGCAAGCGUUGUCCGGAUUUAUUGGGCGUAAAGAGCGUGUAGGCGGCCAGGUAGGUCAGCUGUGAAAACUCGAGGCUCAACCUCGAGACGCCGGUUGAAACCAUCUGGCUAGAGUCCGGAAGAGGAGAGUGGAAUUCCUGGUGUAGCGGUGAAAUGCGCAGAUAUCAGGAGGAACACCAAUGGCGAAGGCAGAUCUCUGGGCCGUAACUGACGCUGAGGAGCGAAAGCAUGGGGAGCGAACAGG
rnacentral:rRNA from 1 species